UACGAAGGGGGCUAGCGUUGCUCGGAAUCACUGGGCGUAAAGCGCACGUAGGCGGAUUCCUAAGUCGGUGGUGAAAUCCUGGAGCUCAACUCCAGAACUGCCUCCGAUACUGAGAGUCUUCGAGUCCGGGAGAGGUGAGUGGAACUGCGAGUGUAGAGGUGAAAUUCGUAGAUAUUCGCAAGAACACCAGUGGCGAAGGCGGCUCACUGGCCCGGUACUGACGCUGAGGUGCGAAAGCUAGGGGAGCGAACAGG
rnacentral:rRNA from 1 species